rnacentral:rRNA from 1 species
AAUAAACGCUGGUGGCAAGCCUAAUACAUGCAAGUCGAACGUGUAACAGGCAAAGAGGUCUCCUCGAUGCGCUGACUAGUGGCGAAUGGGUGAGUAACACGUGCGUAAUCUGCCUCAAUCUUAGGUAUAGCUUUUAGAAAUGAAAGGUAAUCCCUAAUGCUAUUUCUUUUGCUCAUGCAUUUGAAAUGAAAGCUUUCGCGGAUUGAGAUGAGCGCGCGUCCUAUUAGCUUGUUGGUGGGGUAAUGGCCUACCAAGGCUUUGAUGGGUAGGGGGUCUGAGAGGAUGGUCCUCCACACUGACACUGAGAUACGGGUCAGACUCCUACGGGAGGCAGCAGUAAGGAAUAUUGGUCAAUGGGCGAAAGCCUGAACCAGCUAUGCCACGUGCAGGAUGAAGGCUUUAGGGUCGUAAACUGCUUUUGUAUGGGAGCAAAGAGCCCCUGCGGGGGAAGAUGAUAGUACCAUAAGAAUAAGCACCGGCUAACUACGUGCCAGCAGCCGCGGUAAUACGUAGGGUGCAAGCGUUAUUCGGAUUUAUUGGGUUUAAAGGGUGCGUAGGCGUCUCUUCAAGUUAGUAGUGAAAUCUUGAUGCUCAACAUCAAGCUGUCUGCUAAUACUGUCGAGAUUGAGUUUAGUUUAGGUUGGCAGAAUUUGGCGUGUAGCGGUGAAAUGCUUAGAUAUGCCAAGGAAUUCCGUUAGCGUAGGCAGCUAGCUAGGCUAAACUGACGCUGAGAGCACGAAAGCGCGGGUAGCAAACAGG